GAUGAACGCUGGCGGCGUGCCUAAUACAUGCAAGUCGAGCGAACGGACGAGAAGCUUGCUUCUCUGUUGUUAGCGGCGGACGGGUGGUUAACACGUGGAUACCCUACCUAUAAGACUGGGAUAACUUCGGGAAACCGGAGCUAAUCCCGGAUGAUAUUUUGAACCGCAUGGUUAAAAAGUGAAAGACGGUCUUGCUGUCACUUAUAGAUGGAUCCGCGCUGCAUUAGCUAGUUGGUAAGGUAACGGCUUACCAAGGCAACGAUGCAUAGCCGACCUGAGAGGGUGAUCGGCCACACUGGAACUGAGACACGGUCCAGACUCCUACGGGAGGCAGCAGUAGGGAAUCUUCCGCAAUGGGCGAAAGCCUGACGGAGCAACGCCGCGUGAGUGAUGAAGGUCUUCGGAUCGUAAAACUCUGUUAUUAGGGAAGAACAUAUGUGUAAGUAACUGUGCACAUCUUGACGGUACCUAAUCAGAAAGCCACGGCUAACUACGUG
rnacentral:rRNA from 1 species